AGGUCCAGCCUGCCCAGUGAAUAAAUUUAACGGCCGCGGUAUCCUAACCGUGCGAAGGUAGCGUAAUCACUUGUUCUUUAAAUAAGGACUAGUAUGAAUGGCACCACGAAGGUUAUACUGUCUCCCCUUUUUAAUCGGUGAAACUAAUCUCCCCGUGAAGAAGCGAGGAUAAAAUUAUAAGACGAGAAGACCCUAUGGAGCUUUAGACUUCGCAACAAUUGUCAUUAAUUCAUUUACCCUAUUGGAAUUCAACCACAUUAUUUCAUAUUGAUUGCUUGUCUUAGGUUGGGGUGACCACGGAGAAAAACAAAUCCUCCACGAUGAAAGAAACUUAAUUUCUUAACCAAGAGUUACAUCUCCAAGUACCAAAAAUUUGACAUAGCUUGAUCCAAUUUAUUGAUCAACGGACCAAGUUACCCUAGGGAUAACAGCGCAAUCUACUUCAAGAGCCCCUAUCGACAAGUAGGUUUACGACCUCGAUGUUGGAUCAGGGUAUCCUGGUGGUGCAGCCGCUACUAAAGGUUCGUUUGUUCAACGAUUAAAACCCU
rnacentral:rRNA from 1 species